AGAAACCUAAGCUUUAUGAUUAUUGCAAAAUAAUUCACAUUACAUUAGUUUUAGUAUUUGCAACAUAAUUUUAGAAUGCUUCAGUAAUAAUAUAAAGUGAACUGGUAGGAGGUUCCACCUGAUUACAGAUCAAUCAAAAACAUCAGAAUGUCAAGCCACUAGUUGUCGUGGUGGUGGCAGUGGCAUUUCUUAACAUCUUUGUGCCUUGAUUAUAUAUGAUUUUUGAAUUUUGAUAUUGCUUUGGUCCAUAUCUAAUAUGAAGUUACAUCUGUGUUACUGAUAAUUUAUUCAGAAUUGUUCCUAGCUUGUCUUACUCUCUUGUUUUAUACUUUGGACUAUCAGAUCCACCACCACAACACUUGAAACGUUUUACCUGGAAGGCCUAACAACUAUGUGGUAGAUUUGCAUUAACCCACUUGUCUCCCUGUAUGUUGUAGAAAAAGGCAAAAGAGUUAUUGUUUCUUUCCUUCUCGCCACUCUGAGUAGCACUCUUAUGUGUUGUCACUGAUCAGUCAAAACCUGAAAAAGUUGCUGGGGAAUUCAAUAAAAAAAAGUUUUAUCAGACUAGCUAACUGAGGAGGCAAUGAGAAGGAAACAAUGUUGAAUACUAAAUUUAAAUAAAUAAACCUGUCCCCUCUAUCAGCAUUGGCUUUUGUAACUUGAGCUAUAACUUACGACCUUGCUCUUGAAAACGAUUUGAAAUGUCCAUAUGGGCUAUGUUUCACUGGAGAGAAGAGAAGUCCUUACACCAUUUAUCCAUUCUUUUUAUUUUUCAGUUUCUUGACUUGAUCCCUACUCAGCAUUCCCCAGUUACUCAAAUUUGUAUUGAAACUUUUUUAUUUCAUUUUUCAGAAAAUUCUCAAUUAGAAAAACAUCAAAGAUGCAACUUCGCAUGUGUAGUUUUCUUUUUUCCCGAGAUAGGUUCUUUGUUUUUGCUAGUAAGUUCCCUUAAGGCUGUUUUUCCAGGAUAGAAAAAGAAAUCAUGAACAUCUACAAAUCACCAUAUCAGUGAAUUAAUUUUGUUAAGUUCUGAUUUUUCCUGUAUUAUGCAAACUUUAAUUAAUCAUUUAGAUGUUAAAAGAUCCUUAAACUGGCCACUGAUGGAAGUUACUUAUGCUCGAAUGUGUUUUUCAACAUCAUAUCUUUCCUUCAAAUAUUUAUUGCAUCUUUGGUAUGUAGUAUCAAAUUGUACUGGACAUUAUAAUAGACAAGAUUUUCACUUCUUAUUUCUUAUUUGAUACUAUCAAAUUCUAUUCAAGUCACCUUACUAAACAUGUCAUUAGAUAGAAUAUUUUAUGGAUGACUGACACAUCUAUUUUUUAUGCAUUGUUCAGGAGAAGCACUUCUUAAUGAAAACAUUUGGGAUGGAGUUACCACUCCCAAGUCCAAGCACCAAUCCUUCUCAAGCUCCACCUUGCAAAAGGUCCCUCCUCCAUUGUCUUUGACCAGUCUUACUUUUUAAUCUUACCUACAAUAUUCUGCAGAAUUCAGAAUCACCACUACUUAUCAGGAGUUUUCAACAUAUGUAGAGCUUUUUGAUUAAUAUUUUGGAGUUCUUUGUCCUCGGAUUGCAGCCAUCUCGACCUGAGUUUUUUUAAAAAUAGGCUUACGAAGAUCUGCUUUGCAAUCUAGGGUGGUGCUAAAGUCCAUUCCGGUAUUUUUUUUCCUUUUGUGAAGAUUGAUUACUGCCCUUUUGAGAGUUUUCGACCUAAUACUCACAUUGGUUCCCGUUUGCAUUGUUUGUGUGUCAUUUUUUUGUUUGUCUUGUCAUGGAACUCGGAUAUGGCUUUCCAUUGUUCCCAAAAGUUUUUUUUGGCUAGAUAAGCCGAUUGUACAGACACUAUACUAAAAUCCCUUAGUUAUUUGGGGUGUAAUUAUACAAUGGCACCUCGCCAACUAUACCCUCUGGAGAGAUCGGGGAAAAAAAAUGGAGACGGUAAAGGGGGACUAACUAGUUGCAUUGGACUCCUAUUUACCGCACUUUAGGUGUGCAAAGUACUAUGUAAUAAGUUUUCAUGGUGUUUUAGAUCUUGAUUUAUGUAUUUCAUAGUUAAUGGAAUGAAGAAUUUAUACUUAUUGUUGUGCAGAUAUAUAUAUUUCUUGCUCGGUUUAUUGUCUGAGAAAGACACAUUUCUGACAAUUUCAAGAAAUCUGAAAGCAAGAAAAAACCAUAAACAGAAUUCAAAAGCACCAAAAGUAAUGAAGCGUGCAGCCUGAAUAUAAGAGUUCAACAGAAAUUUCUACUUACAGAUUACUCGACCUAUUUUUGUAUCGCCCUUUAUAUAUAUAUUGUAACUUGAACAUUCUUCUCUUCACUUCUCUGUAUGUCUCUCUUCUGAGAUAUGUAAAUGGUGGGGAGGGAGGGAGGGAGAUGAUGGAGGAUUUUG
rnacentral:lncRNA from 1 species